rnacentral:lncRNA from 1 species
UUUGUGUGCUUACAGCACAAGCAAAGAACACAGAGGAUGAGUCACAGCAUCACCAAGAUUGGAGAAGACCUCCAAGAUCAUCCAGUCCAGCCCUCCACCUACCACCAUUUCUCCCCCCUAAAACAUGUCUGAGUACACACAGGAAAUGUGAAAGCCCACACCAGUACAACCACAGGUGCUGGGAGGCCCCCCUGCUGCUCCACCAUGCCUGCAACUCUCUGGUCCCUUAAAUUAACAUCCCUUUUCACCAGGCCUUCUUCUGCAGAGAAAGUUGGUAUUCUCUUGCCUGGUACAAAAAUCCUUAUCCCAGUCAUGAACAUGAGCUCUGUCAGAGGCCCUCUAAACCACAGCAGUCUGAAGGGAUAUUAUAUGGGAACUGUUGAGUCACGUUCUGAACCACUGAUUGAUCACUGGGGAAAGGACCCCAUCAGCCCUGGGAGCACAGGUGAAGGCAAUUCCGCUGUGUGAUCAGAAGGGGUGGAGCCUGGCUGCAUCUCUGUUAGACCCCAUUUAAGGGCUGACCCCCACUGGUUGGGGAUCCUUCCUUGUGGAGUUUUCUCUAUAAGCCUACCUACUCAGAGGUGGGUGAGCAUUCCUUUCCUGUUUGUCCCUUUUUCUAUUCUGUUCCUGCAUUUCCUUUCUACUGUGCUAAUCUUUCCAACUGUAACAGAUAUCACAUAAAUAAAAAC